ACGCCUCAGGCAGGCAGACUAACAUCUCCUGAGACCCUGGGACCCCUACCAUGAACUAAACAGCGGCCUGCCCGGUCCUUAGGAAUUCACCACCCGAGGAGUAAGAUGAGCAUCAAAUGCCGUCAUGGAUCAUUCUCAGGCAGUAUCUGAUAAUGACGAUAAUGAGGACCCGCAGUCCCGCACGUCCCAGGCUCUGUCGCAACCCGUGACUGACAGCUGGAACAUGGGAGUCCCACAGUGAGGUUCUGGCCCUGGCCUCUCCACUUGUCGCCGCUGCGUGAGGCUCACUUUCCUCGUCUGCACCCCCACCCCACCCCCC